UUCUGCAGAUGGUUCUGUGCUGCCCAAUUCUCCAGGAGAUAGCAGUUGCUGGUUGAGAUGCAAGACAAAGCUGGAAUCAAGCCAACCUGGACAUUUGCUUCCUUAUAACUGCCAAAACCUGUGACAGUGACAUAUUAGAGAGGACUGGAUGUUGAGUCCAGCACAGAAGAUAUGGGGAGCAACUGCCUUGAUGCUUUUCUCUUCCCCUAUUAGGUUAAUACCCAUGAUAUCAUGGAGCCUAUUUGACGUAACCUGUAGAGUUGCCUUUUAGAGGAAAAAAAUAAAAAUCUCCUCAUUCAUCUUAAAAGUG